GUAAACAAAAGUGUACAUUAACCUGGAAACGGACAAUUUCAUCAUCUGCAAACUUGAAUGCAUCAAAUUUUCCCUGCAAUGAUUUACUUCCAGGAACCCUUUCCAUAUUAGGAAAUAUAGCUGUAUCCGUAGGACAUCUUAAUGAAUGAAAGAGAAAAGGUGAAACAAAAACAAAUGGUUAUGUGUCAUGGUCAAUAAUGGUUAUGAAAAGAGACGGAGAAAAGACAAAGAAGAUGAAAAGAAAGAAAAGAAGAAAAUGAACUGAAUGGCGAAAGAAAAAGAAGAAAUCAAAUUAACUUGUUAAUGGACAAGAUCAAUGGUUGAGGAACAGUCAUCACACUGGGUUAAUUUGCAAGUUGAAGCUUUUAUAUCAACCCAGUAUUUUCCUCGUUCCUCAGACGCUUUCCUGAAAUAAUUCAAUUCCAAUUGAGGAAGUAACAUUUUCAAAACAUAAGGUGUUAAUAUAAUGGAUUGGGUGAUGGUCACUUGUCUCUUCGCCAUUCAUUACAUUUCAUUAGAUCAAGUUUUGCUACCACUAUUACAUCUCUUUACAUCUCUAUCUUUCUCACACACAAAUGUGCAAAUUAUACAAGGUACAACUCUUCGCCAAGUCUAGCUCCAACAACGUCAAGACCAUCUUUAUCCGUGAUACGAAGUUUAAUGUUUGGUGUUGGUGCGGUUGCAUUAACAACAGCAGUUCCAGCCACAUCAAGUCUAUUGGAAGGAUAAAGAGAAAAAAGAAACACCAUAAAUUGAAUUUUAACAUAAAAAGUUCCAAAUCAAUGGAAUCAGGAAUGACAACUUACGCAGGGAUCACUCUAUAAGAAUUGGUAACCAGUUUUGUUGGAGCUUCAAAGUUACAUACUAAUCGAACCACUCGGUCACCUUUACGCUGG